rnacentral:rRNA from 1 species
UACGGGGGGGGCAAGCGUUGUUCGGAAUUACUGGGCGUAAAGGGCUCGUAGGCGGCCAACUAAGUCAGACGUGAAAUCCCCAGGCUCAACCUGGGAACUGCGUCUGAUACUGGAUGGCUUGAAUCCGGGAGAGGGAUGCAGAAUUCCAGGUGUAGCGGUGAAAUGCGUAGAUAUCUGGAGGAAUACCGGUGGCGAAGGCGGCAUCCUGGACCGACAUUGACGCUGAGGCGCGAAAGCCAGGGGAGCAAACGGG